UUUUAUAAUUUAAGUAAAAAAAAAUUACAAAAUUUUGUAAUUUAAUAGGACAUCGUUUCCAGCAAAAUUCUUUGCCCAAUUCCUGCAAAGGCAAAAUUAACUUCUACGAGCGCAGCUUAUCUACAAAAUUCUGAAGCGUGAGGUCAUUAGUUCGUUGGAACUACUGCUAGCCACAAUCAUUUUUACAUAUUUAUGGCAACGGCAACGGCUACGGCGACGGUGGCAGUGGCCGCCGCAGCUGCUUCUAAGAUUAUAAGAGGCGGCGGACUGAGAGUGGGUGUCUGCAGUCGCCUGGGUAUGGAUAUGGUUCGCAAUCGUCCAUUUAGUAUCAAGACCGCAACGCUAUUUUCACCAAGGCACCAUCGAUUUUCCUGUUUUUGCACCACCGCUAAUGUUAAUGUGAAUGCGGAAGAGCCCACAUCAGUUUCCACCGCCACGAACACAGCAUCUGAAUCGGGAUUGGAUGGGGAUGUUGGCAGUAUAAGAGAUGCAGCCAAGAUGCUCGACAUAAGGGUUGGCCGAAUCAUCAAAGCGUGGAGGCACGAGGAGGCAGAUACCCUUUAUGUGGAGGAGGUGGAUGUGGGGGAGGAUGAACCUCGUAUCGUUUGUAGUGGGCUUGUUAAGUACAUCCCUCUCCACCAUCUCCAGGAUAGGAAAGUGGUGGUGCUUGCUAACCUUAAGCCUAGGAACAUGCGUGGGGUCAAAUCGAGUGGAAUGCUCAUGGCUGCUUCCGAUGCUUCUCAUGAGAAUAUUGAGCUCCUUGAGCCUCCUGAAGGUUCUAUUCCGGGGGAAAGGAUUUGGUUUGGCGCUGAAGACGACCAACAAAAUCAACCUGAUCCUGCCACUCCUAACCAGAUUCAAAAGAAAAAGAUUUGGGAAUCAGUGCAGCCUCAUCUCAAGACAGAUUAUUCUUGUCUGGCUAUGCUUGGGGAGCAUUUAAUGCGGACUUCUGCAGGUGUGGUGGGGUGCAGAUCGCUGAAGAAUGCAAAUAUUUCUUGAAUGAGCUUGGAAAUUCGUGUCACUUAGUUUUUCAUUUCUUCUUGGUGCGAAAUUUUCCUAGCUGCAUUUGUUUCUUCCUUGUCUAGCUUGGCAAAGUUAAUGUGGAUAUUAGCAUAUGCUUGCUACAAUUUCUGAUGGUCACAGUUUUAUCGGUUCUUUUAUGUCUUUGUGAUAACAUAUCUUUGAAUUAUUUGCAAGCAAUUUAGUUUAGACAUUGAGUUACUUAUUUCAUUUUAGUAGUGUCUUUUCAUCCUUAAAAGGCACACUAACUGGGAACCCUUGACGACUGCCUUGAGCUAUUCUUUCAACAAAGUGUAUAUAUUAAAAAUUUUACUGACAUUACUAUCUAUGCCUGGUUACUUUCUUCGCUAUUGGUAAUAUCUAU
rnacentral:misc_RNA from 1 species